UGCAAAGGUAGCAUAAUCAUUAGUCUUUUAAUAGGGGGCUAGUAUGAAGGGUUUGACGAGACGCUAGCUGUCUCAAUUUAAUGUAUUAAAAUUUAACUUUUAAGUUAAAAGGCUUAAAUUUUGUUGGAAGACGAGAAGACCCUAUAGAGCUUUAUGGUUAUAUUUUUAACUAUUUUUGGUGUGUAUAAAUUAUUAUUAUUAAAUAUACUCAUUUUGUUGGGGUGACAAAGAAAUAGGAAUAACUUUUUUAUUUUAAAACCAUUUAUUUAUGAUUAGGAGAUCCAAUAUUGUUGAUUGAUAGAAUAAGUUACCUUAGGGAUAACAGCGUAAUCUUCUUUUGGAGUUCAAAUUUACAAGGAGGGUUGCGACCUCGAUGUUGGAUUAAGAUUACAAUUGGGUGCAGUAGCUUGAUUAGUAGGUCUGUUCGACCUUUAAAUUCUUA
rnacentral:rRNA from 1 species